AAGUCGUAACAAGGUUUCCGUAGGUGAACCUGCGGAAGGAUCAUUAAUAGAUUCUUUACUGAAUUCUUACCCCAUGUGAACUGUUACCAUUGCCUUGGCGUCAGUGAUGGCACCCUCCGGAUAGCAGGCUUGCCUGUUGUCCUGGGGUUGUCCUCUAGGCGUCAUCUUUUUUACCAACUUGACUAUAUGACCGAGUAUACCACAAAGGACUAGAAAACUUUUAGCAACGGAUCUCUAGGCUCUU
rnacentral:misc_RNA from 1 species